GGGUUGUGAGGUUAAGCGAACAAGCGUACACGGUGGAUGCCCUGGCAGUCAGAGGCGAUGAAGGACGUGCUAAUCUGCGAAAAGCGCCGGUAAGGUGAUAUGAACCGUUAUAACCGGCGAUGUCCGAAUGGGGAAACCCGGUGCACUUCGGUGCAUCAUCGUUAGCUGAAUACAUAGGCUAACGAGGCGAACCGGGGGAACUGAAACAUCUAAGUACCCCGAGGAAAAGAAAUCAACCGAGAUUCCCCCAGUAGCGGCGAGCGAACGGGGAACAGCCCAGAGCCUGAAUCAGCUUGUGUGUCAGUGGAACGGUCUGGAAAGGCCGGCGAUACAGGGUGACAGCCCCGUACACGAAGGCACACAGGCUGUGAGCUCGAUGAGUAGGGCGGGACACGUGAUAUCCUGUCUGAAGAUGGGGGGACCAUCCUCCAAGGCUAAAUACUCCUGACUGACCGAUAGUGAACCAGUACCGUGAGGGAAAGGCGAAAAGAACCCCGGCGAGGGGAGUGAAACAGAACCUGAAACCGUGUACGUACAAGCAGUGGGAGCCUUCGUAAGAGGGUGACUGCGUACCUUUUGUAUAAUGGGUCAGCGACUUAUAUUCUGUAGCAAGGUUAACCGUAUAGGGGAGCCGAAGGGAAACCGAGUCUUAAUUGGGCGUUAAGUUGCAGGGUAUAGACCCGAAACCCGGUGAUCUAGCCAUGGGCAGGUUGAAGGUUGGGUAACACUAACUGGAGGACCGAACCGACUAAUGUUGAAAAAUUAGCGGAUGACCUGUGGCUGGGGGUGAAAGGCCAAUCAAACCGGGAGAUAGCUGGUUCUCCCCGAAAGCUAUUUAGGUAGCGCCUCGUGAACUCAUCUCCGGGGGUAGAGCACUGUUUCGGCUAGGGGGCCAUCCCGGCUUACCAACCCGAUGCAAACUGCGAAUACCGGAGAAUGUUAUCACGGGAGACACACGGCGGGUGCUAACGUCCGUCGUGAAGAGGGAAACAACCCAGACCGCCAGCUAAGGUCCCAAAGUCAUGGUUAAGUGGGAAACGAUGUGGGAAGGCCCAGACAGCCAGGAUGUUGGCUUAGAAGCAGCCAUCAUUUAAAGAAAGCGUAAUAGCUCACUGGUCGAGUCGGCCUGCGCGGAAGAUGUAACGGGGCUAAACCAUGCACCGAAGCUGCGGCAGCGACACUAUGUGUUGUUGGGUAGGGGAGCGUUCUGUAAGCCUGCGAAGGUGUGCUGUGAGGCAUGCUGGAGGUAUCAGAAGUGCGAAUGCUGACAUAAGUAACGAUAAAGCGGGUGAAAAGCCCGCUCGCCGGAAGACCAAGGGUUCCUGUCCAACGUUAAUCGGGGCAGGGUGAGUCGACCCCUAAGGCGAGGCCGAAAGGCGUAGUCGAUGGGAAACAGGUUAAUAUUCCUGUACUUGGUGUUACUGCGAAGGGGGGACGGAGAAGGCUAUGUCGGCCGGGCGACGGUUGUCCCGGUUUAAGCGUGUAGGCUGACUUUCCAGGCAAAUCCGGAAGGUUAAGGCUGAGGCGUGAUGACGAGGCACCACGGUGCUGAAGUGACAAAUGCCCUGCUUCCAGGAAAAGCCUCUAAGCAUCAGGUAACAUCAAAUCGUACCCCAAACCGACACAGGUGGUCAGGUAGAGAAUACCAAGGCGCUUGAGAGAACUCGGGUGAAGGAACUAGGCAAAAUGGUGCCGUAACUUCGGGAGAAGGCACGCUGACAUGUAGGUGAAGCCCCUGCGGGUGGAGCUGAAGUCAGUCGAAGAUACCAGCUGGCUGCAACUGUUUAUUAAAAACACAGCACUGUGCAAACACGAAAGUGGACGUAUACGGUGUGACGCCUGCCCGGUGCCGGAAGGUUAAUUGAUGGGGUUAUCGCAAGAGAAGCUCCUGAUCGAAGCCCCGGUAAACGGCGGCCGUAACUAUAACGGUCCUAAGGUAGCGAAAUUCCUUGUCGGGUAAGUUCCGACCUGCACGAAUGGCGUAAUGAUGGCCAGGCUGUCUCCACCCGAGACUCAGUGAAAUUGAACUCGCUGUGAAGAUGCAGUGUACCCGCGGCAAGACGGAAAGACCCCGUGAACCUUUACUACAGCUUGACACUGAACAUUGAGCCUUGAUGUGUAGGAUAGGUGGGAGGCUUUGAAGCGUGGACGCCAGUCUGCGUGGAGCCGACCUUGAAAUACCACCCUUUAAUGUUUGAUGUUCUAACCUGGCGCCGUAAUCCGGCGUGGGGACAGUGUCUGGUGGGUAGUUUGACUGGGGCGGUCUCCUCCCAAAGUGUAACGGAGGAGCACGAAGGUCAGCUAAUCCUGGUCGGACAUCAGGAGGUUAGUGCAAUGGCAUAAGCUGGCUUGACUGCGAGAGUGACGGCUCGAGCAGGUGCGAAAGCAGGUCAUAGUGAUCCGGUGGUUCUGUAUGGAAGGGCCAUCGCUCAACGGAUAAAAGGUACUCCGGGGAUAACAGGCUGAUACCGCCCAAGAGUUCAUAUCGACGGCGGUGUUUGGCACCUCGAUGUCGGCUCAUCACAUCCUGGGGCUGAAGUAGGUCCCAAGGGUAUGGCUGUUCGCCAUUUAAAGUGGUACGCGAGCUGGGUUUAGAACGUCGUGAGACAGUUCGGUCCCUAUCUGCCGUGGGCGCUGGAGAAUUGAGGGGGGCUGCUCCCAGUACGAGAGGACCGGAGUGGACGCAUCACUGGUGUUCGGGUUGUCAUGCCAAUGGCACUGCCCGGUAGCUAAAUGCGGAAGAGAUAAGUGCUGAAAGCAUCUAAGCACGAAACUUGCCCCGAGAUGAGUUCUCCCUGAGACUUUAAGUCUCCUGAAGGAACGUUGAAGACGACGACGUUGAUAGGCCGGGUGUGUAAGCGCAGCGAUGCGUUGAGCUAACCGGUACUAAUGAACCGUGAGGCUUAACCUUACAACGCCAAAGAAGU
rnacentral:rRNA from 1 species